UGGGGAAUAUUGCACAAUGGGCGAGAGCCUGAUGCAGCAACGCCGCGUGAGGGAUGACGGCCUUCGGGUUGUAAACCUCUUUUAGCAGGGAAGAAGCGAAAGUGACGGUACCUGCAGAAAAAGCGCCGGCUAACUACGUGCCAGCAGCCGCGGUAAUACGUAGGGCGCAAGCGUUAUCCGGAAUUAUUGGGCGUAAAGAGCUCGUAGGCGGUUUGUCGCGUCUGCUGUGAAAUCCCGAGGCUCAACCUCGGGCCUGCAGUGGGUACGGGCAGACUAGAGUGCGGUAGGGGAGAUUGGAAUUCCUGGUGUAGCGGUGGAAUGCGCAGAUAUCAGGAGGAACACCGAUGGCGAAGGCAGAUCUCUGGGCCGUAACUGACGCUGAGGAGCGAAAGGGUGGGGAGCAAACAGGCUUAGAUACCCUGGUAGUCCACCCCGUAAACGUUGGGAACUAGUUGUGGGGUCCAUUCCACGGAUUCCGUGACGCAAGCUAACGCAUUAAGUUCCCCGCCUGGGGAGUACGG
rnacentral:rRNA from 1 species